rnacentral:rRNA from 1 species
UACGUAGGGUGCAAGCGUUAAUCGGAAUUACUGGGCGUAAAGCGUGCGUAGGCGGCUAUGUAAGACAGAUGUGAAAGCCCCGGGCUCAACCUGGGAACAGCGCUUGAGACUGGCACGCUCGAGUUCGGGAGAGGAUGGUGGAAUUCCCAGUGUAGAGGUGAAAUUCGUAGAUAUUGGGAAGAACACCGAUGGCGAAGGCAGCCAUCUGGACCGACACUGACGCUGAGGCGCGAAAGCGUGGGGAGCAAACAGG